CUGCGCAGGCUACCAUNNCCGUCGAGCGGAUGAAGAGAGCUUUCUCUCUGAUUCAGCGGCGGACGGGUGAGUAAUGCCUAGGAAUCUGCCUGGUAGUGGGGGACAACGUUUCGAAAGGAACGCUAAUACCGCAUACGUCCUACGGGAGAAAGCAGGGGACCUUCGGGCCUUGCGCUAUCAGAUGAGCCUAGGUCGGAUUAGCUAGUUGGUGAGGUAAUGGCUCACCAAGGCGACGAUCCGUAACUGGUCUGAGAGGAUGAUCAGUCACACUGGAACUGAGACACGGUCCAGACUCCUACGGGAGGCAGCAGUGGGGAAUAUUGGACAAUGGGCGGNAAGCCUGAUCCAGCCAUGCCGCGUGUGUGAAGAANGUCUUCGGAUUGUAAAGCACUUUAAGUUGGGAGGAAGGGCAUUAACCUACAUACGUUAGUGUUUUGACGUUACCGACAGAAUAAGCACCGGCUAACUCUGUGCCAGCAGCCGCGGUAAUACAGAGGGUGCAAGCGUUAAUCGGAAUUACUGGGCGUAAAGCGCGCGUAGGUGGUUUGUUAAGUUGGAUGUGAAAGCCCCGGGCUCAACCUGCGGAACUGCAUUCUAUUUUGUACAAGCUAGAGUAUGGUCAGAGGGUGGUGGAAAUUUCCUGUGUAGCGGUGAAAUGCGUAGAUAUAGGAAGGAACACCAGUGGCGAAGGCGGACCACCUGGACUGAUACUGACACUGAGGUGCGAAAGCGUGGGGGACCAAACAGGAUUAGAUACCCUGGUAGUCCACGCCGUUAAACGAAUGUCCACUAGCCCGUUGGGGACCUUGAGUCUUUAGUGGCGCAGCUACGCAUUAAGUUGACCGCUUGGGGAAU
rnacentral:rRNA from 1 species